rnacentral:rRNA from 1 species
AACGAACGCUGGCGGCAGGCUUAACACAUGCAAGUCGAACGCCCGUAGCAAUACGGGAGUGGCAGACGGGUGAGUAACGCGUGGGAACGUACCCUUUGGUUCGGGAUAACCCAGGGAAACUCGGGCUAAUACCGGAUAAGCCGGAAACGGGAAAGGUUUACUGCCGAAGGAUCGGCCCGCGUCGGAUUAGCUAGUUGGUGGGGUAAAGGCCUACCAAGGCGACGAUCCGUAGCUGGUCUGAGAGGAUGAUCAGCCACACUGGGACUGAGACACGGCCCAGACUCCUACGGGAGGCAGCAGUGGGGAAUAUUGGACAAUGGGCGCAAGCCUGAUCCAGCCAUGCCGCGUGGGUGAAGAAGGCCCUAGGGUUGUAAAGCCCUUUCAGCGGGGACGAUAAUGACGGUACCCGCAGAAGAAGCUCCGGCUAACUUCGUGCCAGCCGCCGCAGUAAAAC